CCAAAUAAACACCCCUCCCCACGCCUAGGGAGCCCGGACCGCCCCCUUCCUCCCUCUGCCCGGCGUGUGGCGAGGGCCAGAGUGAGGGAACGAGCGCGGGCCGGCGGGCUAGCUCCGUGAGUCCGCGAGGCGGGGCGCGCAGCGGGCCGGGCCGGAGGUCGUGUGUGCGCGUAGGGGCGCGAACGGGUGCCCGUCGCGACCCGCCGGCUACCCCGAGUCGGGAAGCCGGCCUGCCAGCGACCAGCGGCGACCGCCCGCCACCGGCGAGGGGGCGCCGGGCCCGCGCGCGCACGCACGUACGCAGGCGUGGGCGGGGGCAGGCGCGCACCCGCCUGUCGCGACAGUCGGGGCCGAGGCCCAGGGGGAGGUGGCCUGUGGCGGGUCGCCGGGCACCCGGAGGCGAGGGGGGCGCGGGCGGAUGGCGGAAGGCGCCCAGCCGCAGCAGCCGCCUCAGCUCGGGCCCGGCGCCGCUGCCCGGGGGAUGAAGCGGGAGUCGGAGCUGGAGCUGCCGGUGCCCGGAGGGGGAGGAGACGGACCCGAACCCGGCCUGAGCAAGCGGCCGCGCACCGAGGAGGCGGCGGCCGACGGCGGCGGGAUGCAGCACUCUUGGAAAUCUCUGCAGUGCUAAAAGACUUCCUGUGCUCUUCUCUCUCUGCUUUUCAAGGCUCUGUCUGACUUCCUGUGUUAGAGACGGAGCUGUAUUUAAGCCUGGCGUGUUUGCUGUGUGCUUCUUGGUCUCCCUUGCAGAGGCCACUCUAUUACUUGUGUUGACUUGCGUAAAGUGACCCUCUUGGUGUUUAUUUUUGAAUUCUUUUGUUUUGUUUGUCUCCUUUUGUUCUCCAUUUGAACUCCCUCAGGCAGAGGGCUUGUGAGAAGUAAAAGCUCGGGCCAUGGAGAAAAGGUAGAGGAAUAUGGGGAGACUUCAGGUGAGGUGGGUUAACACUGGAUGAUGAGGAGGGAAGAUUGGAUGUGGGUGCUGGUGAGCGUGUUCUGCUUGGUGUGUGCAUAUAUCUGUGUCUGUCUGUAUUCAUUUAUUGCUUCUGUCAAUCAUGGUUAAUAGUGAGACUCCCACUGCCUUCCCCACCUUGCCUCCUGGGGCCCAUUAUUUGCUGGUUGCCUUCAAAUUGGCCAAGGAUAGUAGUAUUUGGAAAUGGAGCAGUGUAUAGGGACUUUGGAGUAUGCAGAGGAAGCAGUGGAUUAGGUCCUUUGGGUACAGAUGGGCAACUUAGAACUACCCCAUGGAGAAUCCUUUUUUCACUCUGUGUACUUGUGGAUCUUUAUUUAUUUUUCACUUUUUGCAUUCUCAUUGUUGUAGUUCCAAUACACCAUGUGACACAGGUAUUCAAAUCAUCAUUGAUUUAGCCCCCUACCUUCAACUGCCUGUAUGGUUCUGGGAAAAUCCCUUCUUUGGGGGCCUCAGUUUCCUUAGUUAUAAAAUACAGUGUUGGUACAGGAUGAUUUCUAAGUUAUCUCUGAAAAAUAUGUCAAGUUCCCUGACCUUAAGGUACUUGGUGUCUGCAAUCUAGGUGGGGAGCCAAAAUGGGUGAAAAGUUAAAAAAAAAAGAAAAAAGUGCACGUGUGUGGGUAUGUAUAUGUAUGUGUAUCAUACAUAGGUAUGUAUGCAUAUCAUAUAUAUAUAUAUAUAAAUUUUUUUGGUAAGUUCCAGAGGAACGGGAGUAGAGAUACCACAGGAUAGAUGUGUGUCGCAAGGCAUUGCAAAAUUUAGAGCCAAAGUAUGCAGAGGAUUUGUGCCACUAGGGCCAGAAGAAAGAGAUGGUCAUUCUUGCCAAAAUGGUCAAGGAAGGUUUUAUGGGGAGGUUGAAAUUUGAGGUAUAAUUGGGAGUAAAGGAAAAAUAAUGUUUAUGAAAAGAUAAAAUUUAAGCCUAGGUCACCUACAUCUCUGGGAUCUUCCUAUCAUUCUAAUAAGAAUGAUUGGAUAGGGCUUCCCUGGUGGCGCAGUGGUUGAGAAUCUGCCUGCCAAUGCAAGAGGACACGGGUUCGAGCCCGGGUCUGGGAGGAUCCCACAUGCCGCGGAGCAGCUGGGCCCGUGAGCCCCAACUACUGAGCCUGUGCGUCUGGAACCUGUGCUCCGCAACAAGAGAGGCCGUGACAGUGAGAGGCCCGCGCACCGCGACGAAGAGUGGUCCCCGCUCGCUGCAACUAGAGAAAGCCCUCGCACAGAAACGAAGACCCAACACAGCCAAAAAUAAAUAAAUAAAUAAAUUUAUUUUAAAAAACGAAAAAGAAUGAUAGGAUAUUUAAUAUUCAUUUAACUGAUGUUUAUUGAACAGCUGCUAAGUGCCAGGCCCUGUUUUAGAACCUAGGAAAUAUGGUAGUAAACAAAACAAAGACUCCGCUCUCAUGGAACUAAUAUUCUAAUUGAAAGAGACAGACAGUAAAGAAAUCAACUAUUAUUUCAUGGUCCUAAGUGCUAAGAAGAAAAGUAAAACAGGGGAAGGGGUAGAGAGUGGUGAGGAGGAUGGUUAGGGAAGACCUCUCUGAUAGGUGACCUUUGGAUGACCUGAGGGAAUGGGCCGUUCACAUAUGUGAGGGAAGAGGGUUCAGGCAGAGGAACUGUGGGUACAGAGGCAUUGACGGAGAAGUGCGCUUGAUAUGUUUGAGAGCAAGAAACCAGUGUAGCUGGAGGAGAACGAGCAGGGGCGAGGCAGUUUUAGGAAAUGAUAUUAGCGGUGUAGACAUGCCUAUAGGCCCAUGUAAACAUACAUGUAAAAAAUCUAGGGCUUCCCUGGUGGCGCAGUGGUUGAGAAUCCGCCUGCCGAUGCAGGGGACACGGGUUCGUGCCCCGGUCCGGGAAGAUCCCACAUGCCGCGGAGCGGCCGGGCCCGUGAGCCAUGGCCGCUGAGCUUGUGCGUCCGGAGCCUGUGCUCCGCAACGGAAGAGGCCACAACAGUGAGAGGCCCGCAUACCACAAAAAAAAAAAAAAAAAAAAUCUAGAGUAACUUGCUUUUUGGUAUACGGGUUUGUCUUAAAGCACAUGUUUUUUUCUUAUAUCUUAACACAAAUGGAGUUUCUCGGAGGUCAUAGCUCUUCUGGGAAGCCUUCCCUGACAGCUUAGUUCACACCAGUCAGACCCUCCUCUUGCCUCCUGUUGUGCUGAUGCUUAAUUAUGCAUCAUCUUGUACUGUCCCUUCAUUGUUUUAUUCUUGUUUCCCUAGUGAUGCUGUAAGCUUCUAGAAGACAGGAACUAUAUUUUCUUCGUAUUUAUCCUUUGUAAUACCUCACAGUUUUGGGUACAUAGUAAGUGCUCAAUGCCUGUUAGGUUGAAGUUGAAAUUUUACCUUUUUAAAUAAUUAAGGGAUAGAAAAAAAUCAUGAAAUUUAGGGGUGAAAGUACUUUCAGGAAAUUCCCCAAUCUUUCGAGUGUCAAAGGAUUAACCCUUUUUUUUUUUUUUACAGAAGUUAAUUUCCCAAGAUUACAGACUAAAUGGAGCUACGGCUCUAAGCUGCAGAUUCCAACCCUGUUGAGUUACAGCCACUAAACUUUUGGGAUAAAUCAUUGCUUCCCAAAAUGGAGCACCAGGGACACAAGAGAGUCUGUGGUGCUUCUGUUAUAAUCAUUAUGCUAAGAAGGAACCCUAGAGAGGAGAGGAAGGGUCACUCCUUUUCAAGGCCAGUAUCCAGAAGCUUUAUGUGGAUGGCAGAGGAGUUCACACAGCCCUGGAAACAGUUUAGAAUUAGAGAACCCUGAACUGUAAAGUAGGAGGGAAGAGACAAAUUCAACAUGAAAACUGAAACACAGCUUGAGAGAUGUAGUUAGUUGUUAAAGAAGGUAUUUGGAAAUAUUGUUCUCUAACCUGGUAGAAAGUUAAGUGAGUUAUAUAUAUAGAUAUUAGAGGUUUGUUUCACUUUAAGCAAGUCUGAUAUAUGUGAAAAAUUUGGGCUUUAUUAAACAUACCGGGGAAUAAAUUCUUUUGUUCAGCUCUUCUAGUGAAUAUAAACAAUUUGAUGAGCAAAAAUUCAAUUUUUGUGCAACUUUCUAGGAACUUAGCUGCUUCAUAAGGCAAGGUGCACCUUAAUUAUUAUUUAUAGCUUUCAGCAAAAUUCUUUAUGGUAGUGAAAUGUUGGAAUGUGAUUAUUACAUGGCUAACUAACUGCUUCUGACCAUAGAGUCAUAAAUCCAUUGUAGCUAAGUGAGUUCAGAAGUUGUUCAUGUUAGUGGUGAAUCAGCCCCUAGUAGCAGGAAGACUUUCUGGUCUCAGGGAAGGGCUUCCAGGUAGCCUGUAAUUGCUCUGUAGAUACUGUAUUUCUUAAAGUACUUUAUCUUCCCAUUUGCUUAGUUCUGGGUUUCUUUCCUCCUAGGUGGAUGUCUCUUUGGACUUUGAGUGUUUGGUGCUGAAACUGAAUGUGGUGCUACCAUUUGAGUAGAGUUAUAAAAACGAUGUGCUUUCCUUCCAAGUGAUUUUGUGAACCAUAUCUCACUAAAAUUGUUGAGUUUUUCAUUUCUCCAUGUCUUAAUCUGCUUAGGCACCCUAACAAAAUACCAUAGACUGGGUGGCUUAAACAACAGAAAUUUGUUUCUCACAGUUCCGGAGGCUGGAAGUCCAAGAUCAAGGUGCUGGCAGAUUUGGUCUCUGGUGAGGGCUCUCUUCCUGACUUGCAGCCAGCUGCCUUCUUGCUCUGUGCUCACAUGGCCUUUUCCCCUUGUAUGCUAGUGGACACACAGAGAGAGAGAUCUCUUCCUCUUCUUAUAAGGGUCCUAAUCCCAACAUGGGGGUCCUACCCUCAUGACCUAAUCACCUCCCAACAGCCCCACCUCCAAAUGCCAUCAUACUGUGGGCUAGGGCUUCAAGAUAUUAGUUUGGGAGGGGACACAGACAUUCAUCCCAUAAUACUACCAGAGUGGUAAAUAUUGUAGUUGGAGAAAUUGAGGCACAGUCAUGUAAAAAUUACUAAUUUCUUUCAAGCCUCACAAGGAAGCUUGUGAUUGUGAAACUGGGAAUGUCUUUGAGAAGGAGAAAGAUCUGAAUUCAAAGUAGAAUUUAAAAAAAUUAAAAAAAACCAAAACAAAAAAAACCAAAAAAACAAAGUAGAAUUAUUCUUCAUGGCAACUCAAGAGAUUAGCCUGAGUUGAAUUUGUCUCCUAACUUCCUCUCCCAUUUUUCUAGCCACGUUGUCAUUUUUUUUCUCUAUCAUACUGACAUGUGAACACAACAAAAGCUAACUAGAGAUUUAACUUUCAUUUUGAUAUAAAGCAGACUGAUGCAGGCAGGCCUCAAGAUUACAGGGCUGGGAAAGAAAUUCAAUGUACUACUUGGUGUAAACAAGAAUGUUGCUAGUGAAUCUCUGGUUUGACAUCUCUCAGGCCAUCAGUUUGAUGUCAGGCUUUAAUAAUUUGUGGAAAAAAUAAAGAUGGUCAUUUUAGUGAAUGGACUUGUUUGAAUUGUUUUUUGAUAUGCAUUUGUAAAGCAUAGUAAACAUCUUUUUCUGGGGCAAAUGUGUACUUCCUUCAGAGACAGAAGGGAAGAGCAUGCGAGAGGGUGGAAAGGAAAUGGCAGUAAUUGGAGCGUGAGCAAACAGAUGGAGGAGGGAUGGCGAGUGCAUGUGGUGUUUAGGUGGCCCCUAGGAGUAUUGAGUUUCCUAUUCUUCUCCCCCACAGCCCCAGUACAAGCAGGCAGCUUACAUGGCUAAGGUUUCAUUAUCUAAUCCAUCACAGAUCAGCCUGAAUAAACCCAUUGGCUGGUACUGAUCUAGUUAGGAGGGUAGUGCAAAGCUGCUUGAGCCAGGAUUGGGGCAAAUCGGAUCAGAACUGCCAUGUGAAUCCUGGACAUAUUUCUGUAAUUUGGGUGGUAAAGUAGUUUGAGAAAUCAUUUAAGAGAGAGUGCGGGAGAGCAAGCAAUCAGCCAUGAGUGUUUUCAGAUGUUGUCAUAGAGACCCUGAGGGGAAGUGUAUGGAGGAUUUGAUAUAUUUCUCUGGAGU